rnacentral:rRNA from 1 species
GAUGAACGCUGGCGGCGUGCUUAACACAUGCAAGUCGAGCGAGAGAGUUCUUCGGAACAAUCUAGCGGCGGACGGGUGAGUAACACGUGGGCAACCUGCCUCAUAGAGGGGAAUAGCCUUCCGAAAGGAAGAUUAAUACCGCAUAACAUCGUUGAAGGGCAUCCUUCGAUGAUCAAAGGAGCAAUCCGCUGUGAGAUGGGCCCGCGGCGCAUUAGCUAGUUGGUGAGGUGACGGCUCACCAAGGCGACGAUGCGUAGCCGACCUGAGAGGGUGAUCGGCCACAUUGGGACUGAGACACGGCCCAGACUCCUACGGGAGGCAGCAGUGGGGAAUAUUGCACAAUGGGGGAAACCCUGAUGCAGCAACGCCGCGUGAGUGAUGACGGCCUUCGGGUUGUAAAGCUCUGUCUUUGGGGACGAUAAUGACGGUACCCAAGGAGGAAGUCACGGCUAACUACGUGCCAGCCGCCGCCGUAA